UUUAUAAUUUGGAGAGUUCAUUAUAUGUAAUAGUUUCUGCAUUUGACUGAUUGAACUUUGUACCUCUGUGAACAGUUUUAGAGAGCAAGCGACGAUGGAGAUCAGAAGCGGUUUGGCUGACGGGCAAUUCAUCCAUUUGCAUUGCAGACUACAGGCCCUGACCGCAUGUGACUGUAGGCUAUACUCGGUUGAAAGCCUGGCGUGCAAGCGCGUCUCUAUAGUUUAGAGGCACUGCAGAUGGCAUCGUUGAUUCAUUACCUAGAGAAAAUCCAGUCCCUCCAGGCUACACGUAGUUUAAUUUAUACGGCAUAAGUUGCAAAUCAUUGGGUCGAAGACGUAGCAAAUGUAGCGGCUUAAACGUAACUUAAAGUAAUCCCUCUUAAGUCCAAUUUUUGUCUGAAUGUUAAGCCGAGAUAUUUUGAGGCUUGACCUGAUAAAGGUUCCAUCAUGAUUGACUGAAUAACUUGGUAUGACGACAAAGCACCAAGUAGUUUUGAAAAAAAAAGUACAUCUUGCUUUAGAAAAAGGCCAAGAAUCUUAUAAUAAUAAUAUUUAACAUGAGCCAGUUUGUUCUCAAAUCUGUUGGCCUUAAAAUAUGAUUUUGAGCUUCAUGAGUAUGAGGUCGUAAGUAAAACGAAUGGUGUGCAGAGCGGGACUCGAUAUGAAGAAGCAGGACAUGCGCAUAAAAGUAUCGCUAGGCGCUUAGUCGAGUUUUGGCGUCAAUCAAACGGCGGCUGGCGUAUACAACAACCCACUCGAGCCCUGUAUUCGAUCCAGACCAACCUAGACAGCGGUCCGUUUGUAAUCUCGUCUCCAGAUCCUGCCAAAAGGGACACAGGGCAGUACUCUUUUGAGCUAGGAUUGCAACAGCCGACAGGUUCUGUCGUUCCAAAUGAAGCGUUUCGUAUUCACCGCGGAGAAGAGCAAUUUGCAAAAAAAGAUCGUACAAAUCACCGGUGAUAGAAAACUAACCCCAGGAAGCCCUUCAACUCCCUAGCCGACGCUAAGAAUUUUUGCUGGAAAAAUGACGUGGACUGCAGUGUAAUCAUAGAGUCAAAUCGAUACGUGUCUGGAAGUCUAAUGAAACAGCCCAAUGCUUUUUACCCGCUGCAAUAUGUCAUGUGAAGCCCACUGAGAUGAUUGAUACUGCAUACGUAAGAAGAAUAAGCAGGAAAUUUUUUUAAAAAGUAUUACACAGUUACCUCCUAUUAUCGUCUCCGUGAAUUGCUCGUAGCGGACAGUUUCUUAAAAAAAAGAGCAUUCUUGAGAUUCACUGUCUAAUAAUAAACUCUGGUUUUGAACA